rnacentral:lncRNA from 13 species
UUCUAUACCCAGAAGCGGAAUUGCACAAAGAAAAAUUUAAAGACAAAAGUGUUGUGCCCCGGAAGAAAACAUGUCAAUGUCCUCACAUCAUGAUCCCAUAUGGAGAGGAAACACCUAAAAACAUUGGGCCACAGUAAGACAAGGUAAGAGGAACUAAGGAAGCAUGGAAGAAGGAGCUGAUUGGUUCCUGGAGCAACCAGAGAAGCCUUCACAGAGAUGAAACUGGAGCUGGAUUCUGAUGGAUGAGACUCACCCAUCGGAGCCAGGCUUUGAAGGAACUGACCCCAGUGUGCAUGAGGAAGUACUUCGCGGUGAUGGCCCUCGCCACCCGCUCAGGAAAACACUGGCCUCUCCCCCAACAUCCCCUUCCCACUCCCAGGUCCUCCGGCAAAAGCAGAAGAACCAAGCAAGCCCUUCCACCAAAGUAGCCAUGAACCCCAUUUUCACCAUCUCCAAGAACUUCCUGCUAUACCAGAUAGGGAUUUGGGGUUCUGUUUUUCAUUUUUUUUUUUUUUUAAUCAUUUUAAGACUCUUGAGGGCCAGGUGCGGUGGCUCAAGCCUGUAAUCCCAGCACUUUGGGAGGCCGAGGCGGGUGGAUCACGAGGUCAAAAGAUCAAGACCAUCCUGGUCAACAUGGUGAAACCCCGUCUCUACUAAAAAUACGAAAAAUUAGCUGGGCAUGGUGGCACGUGCCUGUAAUCCCAGCUGCUCGGGAGGCUGAGGCAGGAGAAUUGCCUGAAUCCAGGAGGUGGAGGUUGCACUGAGCCGAGAUUGUGCCAUUGCACUCCAGCCUGGGUAACAAGAGCAAAACUCUUGUCUCAAAAAAAAAAAGACUCUUGAACAAUGUGUCAGAUUACACUAUUCUCUCUUCUUAAGCCACCGUAUCAAUAUAUUCACUCUGCUUCCUUUCUUUUCAUUUGGUGCAUGCCACACUUUUCAUGGCAGCAUAAAAGGUGCUUCUAUCAAUGCCAGGCGGGCAGCCCUGACCAUCUAAAGCCUCAGAAAGGGUUAUAGCAAGUCUCCCAUACACCUCCGUGCUAGUGAGGACAUGUGGGGCCCUCUCAUACCAAAGUUUUGGGACAAAGUCUCCAGUCCCUUAUCACUCGUUUUCACUGAAGCUAAAUGUAACUGUUCAGCACGUGGAUAGAUUUUUAAGCUCCUCUCACAAAGUCUUGUUGUGCUUGAGACAAAAUCACCCCAGGUUCUGCACUUUGUCUGUAUUUCAGCAACUCUUCCCACUUUAUAUUAAAAAUAGCCUUAUCUAGUCCAUCGAGAUCAGACCCAGGAGACAGGCGCCUGCUAUUCUAAUCUCUACUUCACAAAUAGCUCUCUAUGGGCUCAAGCAUCUAUCAACACUUCCAGGGGUCUCCAGUUAUACAACAGGGCCAGGCCUAGUCACCUAUAAAGGUAGGCUCUGCUUAAUGCUCCUGAGCUGUCCGUGAGGUUAGCAUGAGGCCUACAACAAACACAUUUCCACCAUGGACUAGAGGCCUCCAAUGGUGACUCAAAACUGAGAAGCAGUUAAGAGCAUCGCCCACACUCAGGGUAUCCUGCAUUUCCCAGGCCAAAACCUACAAAAAGCUUCCCUUGAGACUCAAACUCAAACAGCACUGGUAAACAGGCUGCCCCUCCCCGCUCCUUCCCUCCUCCCCGCUCCUUCCCUCCUCCCCCAAACCACCCCCAUCCCUCACUUUCACCUCCCUUCCUCCCCAAGCCCAUCUUGUACUCUGUGAAAAACUGUAGAUCCCUCAGUUGCCAAGGGAACCAAGCCUUUUAUUCCAUCCCAGUGACUGGCUGGCUGGGCUGAGGAGUGGGGCAACAACUGGUACCCAGGCCUUUGGAAGCCCAAGCCCUCCCUUUUUCCCAAAGGGGGAAGGGUGGGCUGCACCCCUGUUGCCUUUUCACCCAAACCCAGCUGGGUGGGACUGAGCCCUUGGGCUCUCAGGAGCUCCCUGGCUGUGGGCUCGGGAGAUCAGUGCUCCCCAGGCCCUCCUCUGGCCCUGGCCCUUUCCAGAGGACAAUAGCCUUCAUGCAAGGGAAAAUUCCAUCGCCCAGGGUUCAAGUCUCCAAGGAGUUGCUGGGGCCUCUGUUGAGCCUGGAGUGGGCUCUGAGGAGCCGCUGCAGCUGCCUGUCUUGUUUUCCCCCUCGCUGUGUUUUAUUUUUAACCCCUGAGCUGCCAAGGAUUGUUUUUCCCCAGCCAGUGCCUGGGAACUAAGGGAGGGAAGAAAUAAGGCUUUGUUCCCUUUGGGGAACUAAUUGGGAAAGACAGGCAGUGUGGCCGGUUUGGCUCUAUUAGGGUGUGAGGCUCCCACCCCUCACUGCACAACAUCUUUACCCCAACCCAUGCCCAGGAGGCUGGGAGUGCAGAGACACUCCCCAGGCUGCAAACCAGAGGCCCAGGGGGCUGGUGGGAAUGCAAGUGCUGCUUCAAGACUGCAAAGGCAGCUCAGAGCCAUUUUCUCGGGCUGGGAAGAUAUUCAGGAAAUAAAAUGUUGGGAGCUGGACA